AACCCCUGGCAAUGGGCAAGGAAACCCCUUGUUGAUGCUGGUGUUCUUAUGUCAGUCAGGGGCAGAGCAUAUGGCAGUCCUUCCUUUCUUCAUCUAGCUUGAUGCCUGACUUGGUGGCCAAAGCUGUCUUAUGCCUAGGAGUCAUAA